UAUUCUCAUGUGGAAGCUGUUUUGAGUACAACCCCAGUAUUAACCUGUUCUUCCACAACCCUAUGUACUUCGUACAUUACUGCUAGCCCCCAUGAAUAUCGUACA
rfam:Hylobates moloch NAN01 cytochrome b gene, partial cds; and tRNA-Thr, tRNA-Pro, and tRNA-Phe genes, complete sequence; mitochondrial genes for mitochondrial products.